ensembl:snRNA U6 U6 spliceosomal RNA
GUGCUUGCUUCGGCAGCACAUAUACUAAAAUUAGAAUGAUACAGAGAAGAUUAGAAU